rnacentral:rRNA from 1 species
CCUACGGGUGGCAGCAGUGAGGCAUAUUGGUCAAUGGCCGGAAGGCUGAACCAGCCAAGCCGCGUGAGGGAGGAAGGCGCAGAGCGUCGCAGACCUCUUUUGCCGGGGGACAAAAGGCCGGACUCGUCCGGUCCCGAGGGUACCCGGAGAAAAAGCAUCCGCUAACUCCCUGCCAGCAGCCGCGGUAAUACGGAGGAUGCGAACGUUAUCCGGAUUUAUUGGGUUUAAAGGGUGCGUAGGCGGAAUUCCAAGUCAGCGGUAAAAUUGCGGGGCUCAACCUCGCUCCGUCGUUGAAACUGGCGUUAGUGAGUGGGCGAGAAGUAUGCGGAAUGCGUGGUGUAGCGGUGAAAUGCAUAGAUAUCACGCAGAACUCCGAUUGCGAAGGCAGCAUACCGGCGCCCAACUGACGCUGAAGCACGAAAGCGUGGGUAUCGAACAGGAUUAGAUACCCGUGUAGUC